CACCUCUAGCAUUCCUAGUAUUAGAGGCACUGCCUGCCCAGUGACGUCUGUUUAAACGGCCGUGGUAUCCUAACUGUGCAAAGGUAGCAUAAUCACUUGUUCCCUAAACAGGGACCUGUAUGAACGGCCACACAAGGUUUCACUGUCUCUUACUUCCAAUCAGUGAAAUUGACCUUCCCGUGAAGAGGCGGGAAUAACUAAAUAAGACAAGAAGACCCUAUGGAACUUUAAUUAACUGAUUCACAAAAAAUAACAUACAAACCUAACCUUCAGGGACAAGAGAACCUUUGACUGAAUCAGCAAUUUCGGUUGAGGUGACCUCGGAGAACAAAAUAACCUCCGAGUGAUUAAAAUCCAGACUAACUAGUUGAAAUAUACAAUCACUUAUUGAUCCAAACUAUUGAUCAACGGAACAAGUUACCCUAGGGAUAACAGUGCAAUCCUAUUCCAGAGUCCAUAUCGACAAUUAGGGUUUACGACCUCGAUGUUGGAUCAAGACAUCCUAAUGGUGCAACCGCUAUUAAGGGUUCGUUUGUUCAACGAUUAAAGUCUU
rnacentral:rRNA from 1 species